rnacentral:rRNA from 1 species
CAGGACGAACGCUGGCGGCGUGCUUAACACAUGCAAGUCGAACGGAGAAUUUAUUUCGGUAAAUUCUUAGUGGCGAACGGGUGAGUAACGCGUAGGCAACCUGCCCUCCAGUUGGGGACAACAUUCCGAAAGGAAUGCUAAUACCGAAUGUGAUCCUUCUUCCGCAUGGAGGAAGGAUGAAAGAUGGCCUCUAUUUAUAAGCUAUCGCUGGAAGAUGGGCCUGCGUCUGAUUAGCUAGUUGGUGGGGUAACGGCUCACCAAGGCGAUGAUCAGUAGCCGGUCUGAGAGGAUGAACGGCCACAU